rnacentral:lncRNA from 1 species
GCAGUGAGGCACAAGAGAACGAUUUGUUCAGUAGGCGUUGUGCGGGUAAGACGUGUGUGCACCAAGAAGUGUGUCUGCUCGCUGCUUUGUCACCAGUCCGAUUAACGUGAAGUGUAUACAACAAGGGAGAAGUCGGGUCUUGCCGGCCAUCCUCUAAACCUGGGCGAACAAGUCUCAGGCGUCAGUCAGAUGGAGCACGUCCCGCCACGAAUCUGGCACCGGCGUCCCUACAUCUGCUCACUACCAACUUGGUAGAGCCUCUGUUUCACUCGAGCUAACGCGUCAGCUACAGCAACGCUCGAGUCAGACCUGCACCCGCCCAAGCGUCUGAGAAGCCCAGGCAUCCUCUUCUGUCUGUGUCCAUGUGAUAGCAGUCCAUCUCCAGGUCGCCCUCUUCAAAAGAGGGCGUUGACAGUGGAGACGUGCGGUCCUGGCGGUCCAGCAUAGGUCCUGCCACUACUGAAGAGAGAACCAAACCAGCGUCUUAAUCACACCCAACUUGCGGCAAGAAAUUUUCUCUCGUUGCACUGGAAGAAGCCAACGGUCUCGCUGCAUCUUCCAUGGAGGAAUUGGACCCUGCCUCGCACCAGCUCUGCCAUGAUAACGUGCUGCCAUCAAGGGAGGACACUGCCUCGCUGCACCUUCCAUGGAGGAAUUGGACCCUGCCUCGCACCAGCUCUGCCAUGAUAACGUGCUGCCAUCAAGGGAGGACACUGCCUCGCUGCACCUUCCAUGGAGGAAUUGGACCCUGUCUCGCACCAACUCUGCCCUGAUAACGUGCUGCCAUCAAGGGAGGACACUGCCUCGCUGCACCUUCCAUGGAGGAAUUGGACCCUGCCUCGCAUCAGCGCUGCCCUGACAAGUGGUGCCAUCCAGGAAGAGAUGACAUAUUAUAUUGCCUUGCUUCAUCUAACCUAACCUAACAAAUACAUGUUGCGAAUCACUCUUGUAAUGUUAUUCCUUCCAUGUUCUGAUGUGCCCACAUAACUGGUGUUAUACUUUAAUAAUAAAUAAAGAUUAAGGAAAUUGA